rnacentral:rRNA from 1 species
UGGGGAAUCUUGCGCAAUGGGCGAAAGCCUGACGCAGCCAUGCCGCGUGAGUGAUGAAGGCCUUAGGGUUGUAAAACUCUUUCACCGGGGACGAUAAUGACGGUACCCGGAGAAGAAGCCCCGGCUAACUUCGUGCCAGCAGCCGCGGUAAUACGAAGGGGGCUAGCGUUGCUCGGAAUUACUGGGCGUAAAGGGCGCGUAGGCGGAUCAGCAAGUUGGGGGUGAAAGCCCGGGGCUCAACCUCGGAAUUGCCUUCAAAACUGCUGAUCUAGAGUACGGGAGAGGUGUGUGGAACUCCGAGUGUAGAGGUGAAAUUCGUAGAUAUUCGGAAGAACACCAGUGGCGAAGGCGACACACUGGCCCGUUACUGACGCUGGGGCGCGAAAGCGUGGGGAGCAAAACAGGAUUAGAUACCCUGGUAGUCCACGCUGUAAACGAUGAUUGCUAGUUGUCGGCAGGCAUGCCUGUCGGUGACGCAGCUAACGCAUUAAGCAAUCCGCCUGGGGAGUACGGUCGCAAGAUUAAAAACUUAAAUGAAUUGACGGGGUCAUAGCUGUUUCCU